ensembl:lncRNA
AGAAACCCUACAAGCACCGGACCCCUAUUGUGAAGCCAAUGAAACCACCCAUGUCCCGUGCACUUUUCCCACCUCGUCCAGCUAUUCACAAUAAGACUCAGCCUAGACUCCCUCUAACCAAAAACCAAGGUUUCCCAGGAGCUCCCAAGACAUCUUUUGACGGAGGAAACAGUAUUAGAAAUGCUUCCUCUCAUCUCGUGGACCUCCCUCCUGCCCCCUCCCAACUCCUGCCCACCAAAACCCCCAGUACCUCCUCUGCCACCCCUGUCCUUAACAACCCCUCUCCACCCGGUGAAAAGCAACAGGGAAAGACCCAACCCAGGGGACCUACUAGCGCCACAGUGAAGCCACAUAACCAUUCCUCUGG